rnacentral:rRNA from 1 species
UACGUAGGUGGCUAGCGUUGUCCGGAUUUACUGGGCGUAAAGGGCGCGUAGGCGGCCACCGCAAGUCGGUUGUGAAAUCUCUGGGCUUAACCCAGAGAGGUCAACCGAUACUGCGGGGCUAGAGUGCAGAAGGGGCAACUGGAAUUCUCGGUGUAGCGGUGAAAUGCGUAGAUAUCGAGAGGAACACCUGCGGCGAAGGCGGGUUGCUGGGCUGACACUGACGCUGAUGCGCGAAAGCUAGGGGAGCGAACGGG